GACGAACGCUGGCGGCGUGGAUUAGGCAUGCAAGUCGAACGGUAUCAUCCUUUCGGGGGUGAGAGAGUGGCGAACUGGUGAGUAACACGUAGGUUAUCUACCCUCAAGACGGGGACAACCCAGGGAAACUUGGGCUAAUACCGGAUGUGAGCAACUUUUUAGUUGUUUGAAAGGUGGCGUAAGCUGUCGCUUGGGGAUGAGCCUGCGUCCUAUUAGUUAGUUGGUGAGGUAACGGCUCACCUAGGCAAUGAUAGGUAGGCGGCCUUAACGGGUGGUCGCCCACACUGGGAUUGAGGUACGGCCCAGACUCCUACGGGAGGCAGCAGUCGAGAAUAGUCUACAAUGGUCGGAAGACUGAUAGUGCGACGCCGCGUGAACGAUGAAUCCCUUCGGGGUGUAAAGUUCUUUUAUAUGUGAGCAGUGCUUCUUAUAUUAACAGUAUGGGGAAGAGAUAUUAGCAUAUGAAUAAGCAACGGCUAACUCCGUGCCAGCAGCCGACGGUAAAACGU
rnacentral:rRNA from 1 species